rnacentral:rRNA from 1 species
UGCUAGACCGAAUCUGACGCUGAGGGACGAAAGCUAGGGGAGCGAAUGGGAUUAGAUACCCCAGUAGUCCUAGUCGUAAACGAUGGAGACUAGGUGUUGCCUGUAUCGACCCGGGCAGUGCCGAAGCCAACGCGUUAAGUCUCCCGCCUGGGGAGUACGCACGCAAGUGUGAAACUCAAAGGAAUUGACGGGGGCCCGCACAAGCGGUGGAGUAUGUGGUUUAAUUCGAUGCAACGCGAAGAACCUUACCAGGGCUUGACAUCCCGCGAAUCUUCCCGAAAGGGGAGAGUGCCUACGGGAACGCGGAGGCAGGUGGUGCAUGGCUGUCGUCAGCUCGUGUCGUGAGAUGUUGGGUUAAGUCCCGCAACGAGCGCAACCCUCGUCCUUAGUUGCCAGCCUUAAGUGGGGCACUCUAGGGAGACUGCCGGUGAUAAACCGGAGGAAGGUGGGGAUGACGUCAAGUCAUCAUGCCCCAUAUGUCCUGGGCUACACACGUACUACAAUGGUCGGGACAACGAGCAGCCAACUUGCGAAAGCGAGCUAAUCUCUUAAACCCGGCCUCAGUUCAGAUUGCAGGCUGCAACUCGCCUGCAUGAAGGAGGAAUCGCUAGUAAUCGCAGGUCAGCAUACUGCGGUGAAUCCGUUCCCGGGCCUUGCACACACCGCCCGUC